UUCCUAAUCAACUGGCAGAGAUGAAUUCCUUGAAGUCUUAAACUUCAUUUUCGACUUACAAUAUCAAUUUUAUCUUCCUGCAAGUUCAUCCAUGAUUCAGGAUUUUUGAUAUUAUACAAGUAAAAUUGAUGGGAAACAUAGAGACAUCGACACUGGUGGUGGUACCACAACGUUCUAGUGUUGGGUCACUGGUAGUUGCGAUACAAAUUGAGGGUGAUGACAAACUAGAAUUUUUUUUCAACCUCUA